rfam:Hordeum vulgare subsp. vulgare, WGS project CAJW01000000 data, contig: morex_contig_2549077
UCUCUUCUGGAUGAUGAACUUAUCUUAUAUCUUCUCUCUGGAUUGGACGGUGAAUAUGAUGCUUUCAUUGAGGUGCUGCCCUCCCGUGCUACUCCCAUGCUGAACCAUGAUAUGUUUGCACACCUGUUGAACACGGAGC